rnacentral:autocatalytically_spliced_intron from 1 species
GUGUGUCCAGAGAAGGUGAAUAUGUUUAGUAGGAGUUAAACCUACCAGGACAAAAGUCGGAAUCCUGUAACUAGGGUAGCAGUAUUGCGGGAAACCAAGAUGCUGAAGCCUACCGACAACAUUGUUGUAAGAAUAAUGAUGAAUUACCAGGCUGUAGCGAAAGCGAACACAUAGGUGACCUCGAAAGUAACGUGAACCCAAAGGCCGAACCAUCGGUGGAAUGGUGAAGGCAACAUAGACAGUUGAAACCCGAAUGAUACAACUGAUCUACUUUGGCGGGGCGGUAGUGAUAGCAUGGUGAUAAGGACAUAUUAAACAACUGGAGAAGCCCUCCUCAUCCCAGGGAGAAAUACCUUGGAGCGGUAGGUUCUAUAACUGAACAGAGGAAAUGAACCGAAGAUGAAAGGGUGGCGGACGGG